AGUGAACGCUGGCGGUAGGCCUAACACAUGCAAGUCGAACGGCAGCACAGUAAGAGCUUGCUCUUACGGGUGGCGAGUGGCGGACGGGUGAGGAAUACAUCGGAAUCUACUUUUUCGUGGGGGAUAACGUAGGGAAACUUACGCUAAUACCGCAUACGACCUACGGGUGAAAGCAGGGGAGCUUCGGACCUUGCGCGAUUGAAUGAGCCGAUGUCGGGUUAGCUAGUUGGCGGGGUAAAGGCCCACCAAGGCGACGAUCCGUAGCUGGUCUGAGAGGAUGAUCAGCCACACUGGAACUGAGACACGGUCCAGACUCCUACGGGAGGCAGCAGUGGGGAAUAUUGGACAAAGGGCGCAAGCCUGAUCCAGCCAUACCGCGUGGGUGAAGAAGGCCUUCGGGUUGUAAAGCCCUUUUGUUGGGAAAGAAAAGCAGCAGGUUAAUACCCCGCUGUUCUGACGGUACCCAAAGAAUAAGCACCGGCUAACUUCGUG
rnacentral:rRNA from 1 species